CUGACUGUUUGCCAUAAAUUAUCUUAUUUAAUCCUCAUAAUGACUCUCUGAGAUAAAUUCCAUAUUACUUCCAUUUUACAGACAGAGAAACAGAGGCUCCCAGAAGUUCAGUAAAUUGCCCAAGGGCACACAGCUGCAAAGAAUGAGAGUCCUUGUUGCUCCCCAUCCUUGUCAGCAGUUGGUGUUGUCAGUGUUCUGGACUUUGGCCAUUCUAACAGGUAUGUAGUGGUGUCUCACUGUUGUUUUAAGGUGCGUUUCCCUGAUGACACAUGAUGUGGAGCAUCUUUUCACGCGCUUACUUGCCAUCUGUCCAUCUUUGUUGGGGUAUUUGUUCAGGACUUAUGCCCAUUUUUAAAUCAGGUUGUUCCUUUUCCUAUUGUUGAGUUUCAAGAGUUCUUUGUAUAUUUUGGAUAAUAGUCUUUUAUCCGAUGUGUCUUUUACAAAUAUCUUCUCCCAGUCUGUGGCUUGUCUUCUCAUUCUCUUGACAUUGUCCUUUGCAGAGCAGAAGUUGUUAAUUUUAAAGAAAUCUAGUUUAUCAGUUAUUUCUUUCCUGCAUCUAAAAAGCCAUCACCAUACCCAAUGUCAUCUAGAUUUUCUCCUGUGUUAUCUUCUAGGAGUUUCAUAGUUUUGCAUUUUGCAUUUAGGUCUAUCAUCCAUUUCGAGUUAAUUUUUGUGAAGGAUGUAAGGUCUGUGUCUGGAUUCAUUUUUUUGCAUGUGGAUGUUCAGUUGUUCCAGCACCAUUUGUUGAAAAGACUGUCUUUGUGUGCAUCCUUCUUUUCAAAACUUUUGAUAGAAGUAGGACAUACAGAGAGCAUAUAGCAUAAUGGGUUUUCAUGAACUGAACAUUUCUGUGUAAACUGGAUCCAGAUCAAGAAACAGAACAUCACCCAGCACCCUGGAAGUCCCCUUGUGUUCUCACCCAUCACCACCUUCCCAAGGGUAACCACCCUCUUGACUUCCGAAAGCACAGAUUAAUUUUGGGUAUUUCUGUUUUUCAUGUAUUAAAUGGAAUCACACAGUGUGAUGGUUAAGUCUAUGUGUCAGCUCGACUGGCCACAGGCUGCCUAGAUUAGACAUUGUUUCCGGGUGUGUCUGUGAGAGUAUUUCUGGAUGAAAUUCACAUUCAAAUUAGUGGACUCAGUAGAUUGUCCUUCCCAAUGUGGUGGGCAGCAUCCAAUCUGUUGAGGGCCACGUACAGAGAUCCGGCCUAGCAAAGCCUUUGCUAACCCAACCUUGUCACUUGUACUUAAAUGUGCCCCAGAUCAACCAUGUCACUGAAUCGGACCAAGUCACACAGCUCUCCUCUCUGACAGUAGAACUAUAAAGGAUGUUCCUAUAUAAGCUUGUUUCUGCUCAGUUGAUCUUUUCUUUGUUUCAGCAGUCUUUUUGAUCCAUCACAAAUAAAACAAAACAAAAAACAAAGAUACUUGAAGCUACCGUAAUUCAGAUGUGCUGAGAUGAUUAUGGAGGGGCCGAAACAUAAUGGUUCUAGUAUCUGGAGAUGAAAUGACCUGUGAGAGGCAAAACGACCAGUGAGAAGAUAGAACAGAACCAGAGAGGGGGGCGGGAUGAAGGGACUCGAGAGGAAAGGCUGGCUAGUGUGUGUGUGUGUGUGCGUGUGUGUGCGUGUGUGUCUGUAUUCAAGUAAGGGCUACGAGUGUAUGUCUGGGGAAUCCAUUAUUUGACUCUGUGUGUUUGUGUCUCCAAGUGUGCAUAUGGAUGGGGACAGGCUCUGGGUUGGUGACAGGUGGUUACCGUGGGUGGGAUGUGUCUGUGUGGGUCUUGAUUUGUCUGUGUGUGUGUUGGUGUUUGUGUCUAUGAGGAAUGUAUGUGUGUGUACCACUGUGCUGGGCACUUUACAGUUUCCUCAGUGGGUUGUCAACAGCCCCGCACAUUAGGAGCUGUCCCCAUUUCACAGAAACUGAAGCUCAAAGAGGUCCUGAAGCUCUAAGGUAGCAUAGCCUGUUUGUGGCGGAGCUGGACGGCAGACACAGCUCCUUUCAAUACCAAAGAUCCUGCUCUCACCUCAGCCCUCUAACAACCUCCGGAAGGCGGCCUCAGGAGCCGACUCACCCUGGAAUUAAACCUGGGCCCACUUUUGGGACUGGAACAUAGCAAGAAAAAGCCGCUCACCAAACACCCCACCAAAUGGGCCCUGAUUGCAAAGCCCAAUGACAGCAAGUGUUGUCGAGGGUGGAGUAGGGAAGGCUCUGCUCAGCGCCGGGGCUGUACACACAGGACCACUUGGGAACCAGUCACCUCGUGGAGCAUGAACUUAGACUUGACCCCAGCUGCUCCACUCCUACGGCCUGAGAAACACAUGCCCUAGGGGCAGGUGCUGAACUUUCAUAGCAAUAUUGUUAGUAAUAGCAGAAUCCUGGAAACAGCCCCAAAGUCCACUGAUGGUAGAUUGGGCAAAAAGACCUGUAUUCCAUUCACACAUUUUAUGAACUACAGCUCUGUGCAUUAUUAUGGACGCAUCCUAAUGUCCCAGAAGACUACUUACACAAGAGACUAUUUUUAUAAAGUUCAGAAACAAGCGAAAGUAUAAGGAAGUGCAAGAGAAUGAUAAAAAAAAAAUAAUAAACUUCAGAUGUUGGUUA